rnacentral:rRNA from 1 species
CUGCGAAUGGCUCAUUAAAUCAGUUAUCGUUUAUUUGAUAGUACCUUACUACUUGGAUAACCGUGGUAAUUCUAGAGCUAAUACAUGCUAAAAAUCUCGACUUCGGAAGAGAUGUAUUUAUUAGAUAAAAAACCAAUGCCCUUCGGGGCUUCUUGGUGAUUCAUAAUAACUUUUCAGAUCGCAUGGCCUUGAGCCGGCGACGGUUCAUUCAAAUUUCUGCCCUAUCAACUUUCGAUGGUAAGGUAGUGGCUUACCAUGGUUUCAACGGGUAACGGGGAAUUAGGGUUCGAUUCCGGAGAGUGAGCCUGAGAAACGGCUGACACAUCCAAGGAAGGCAGCAGGCGCGCAAAUUACCCAAUCCCAACAGUGGGGAGGUAGUGACAAUAAAUACUGAUACAGGGCUCUUUUGGGUCUUGUAAUUGGAAUGAGUACAAUUUAAACCUCUUAACGAGGAACAAUUGGAGGGCAAGUCUGGUGAACGCUGGUGCCAGACAGAGUCAGGCAGGCCGCCUGGCUAGUCGAACACCCACACAAAUGGGCGGGUGUCGGCAAGGUAACCUGGUACGGGAGACACCGCUCUUGCAGCGGCCAUCCCGUGGCGAGCUGGUUUUCCGCCAGCCGUCGUAACGCGCGCAAAGGUACCGGCCUAGUAGGCUCAUGGGACGCGCUAUCCCCCUGCGCAAGCAGGGCUCUGCACUGAAGCACCCAUUAUGCAAAGGUGUGGGAGGGCCAAAGCAAUUUGGCUGGGUGUGCUUGUGCUUUGCACAGGCGAGAAUGGCCAGCAGCCGCGGUAAUUCCAGCUCCAAUAGCGUAUAUUAAAGUUGUUGCCGUUAAAAAGCUCGUAGUUGAACCUUGGGCCUGGCUGGCAGGUCCGCCUCACCGCGUGUACUUGUCCGGCCGGGCCUUUCCUUCUGGAGAACCUCAUGCCCUUCACUGGGUGUGCUGGGGAACCAGGACUUUUACUUUGAAAAAAUUAGAGUGUUCAAAGCAGGCCUUUGCUCGAAUACGUUAGCAUGGAAUAAUAGAAUAAGACGUUGCGGUCUUAUUUUGUUGGUUUCUAAGACCGCCGUAAUGAUUAAUAGGGACGGUUGGGGGCAUUAGUAUUCAAUUGUCAGAGGUGAAAUUCUUGGAUUUAUUGAAGACUAACUACUGCGAAAGCAUUUGCCAAAGAUGUUUUCAUUAAUCAGUGAACGAAAGUUAGGGGAUCGAAAACGAUCAGAUACCGUUGUAGUCUUAACCGUAAACUAUGCCGACUAGGGAUUAGGCGGUGUUUCUAUCUUGACCCGCUUAGCACCU